ACGUCUCCAUAGCCUUUUCGACCCUGUCCAAUCAGGAGCUCAUUGGCAGUGACGGAGGCCUCCAAGCAGGUGCUAAAAUGGCGCCGCCACGGGGGUUUGAGAGCGAAGUAGCAGAUGGGUCGAAUUAUAGGAGUCAAGGAGGAGUUUCAGUUCAACUUUUUGAUUCUGCAAGGGAGCUAAUUGCAGCUUAUGCAUGGAGCUUUUCGAAAUGGAGGAGACGGGGUUGGAGGCUUUGAAAAAUGUGGAGGCUGAGUGGGAUUAGAGGAUUAGAAGAGAUGGGUUUUUGAAAUCUGUUGCACCAAUUGGGAGUAUUUUGCUGUAU